UUCUUCCAAAGCCAACUUGUAAUAUUUGGGGUUGCGCAGGGACAAAUAGGACACAACUAAACAACGUACAGGAUAAUUUAGAAAUUUAAUUAAGAAUUAAUAUACAUAGAAAAAUGUUCGUAUUAAAGUUCAUCAAUAUUCAUGAAAUAAAAUCACAUCAGUGUUCAUACUAAAUUAACGCAUGUAAUACAGUUUAGAUACGCUGCUAUACAACAACCUCAAUACAGUUUAGAUACGCUGCUAUACAGCAAACACAAUACAGUUUAAAUACGCUGCUAUACGCCAAACACAAUACAGUUUAAAUACGCUGUUA